UGAAUCAUAACAAGACGUAAUGAGGUCA
rnacentral:sRNA from 1 species